CCUACGGGAGGCAGCAGUGGGGGAUAUUGCACAAUGGGGGGAACCCUGAUGCAGCGACGCCGCGUGGGUGAAGAAGCGCCUCGGCGCGUAAAGCCCUGUCAGCAGGGAAGAAAAGGACGUUACCUGAAGAAGAAGCCCCGGCUAACUACGUGCCAGCAGCCGCGGUAAUACGUAGGGGGCAAGCGUUAGCCGGAUUUACUGGGUGUAAAGGGGGCGCAGACGGCGAUGCAAGCCAGGAGUGAAAGCCGGGGGCCCAACCCCGGGACUGCUCUUGGAACUGCGUGGCUGGAGUGCAGGAGGGGCAGGCGGAAUUCCUGGUGUAGGGGUGAAAUGCGUAGAUAUCAGGAGGAACACCGGUGGCGAAGGCGACCUGCUGGACUGCAACUGACGUUGAGGCCCGAAAGCGUGGGGAGCAAACAGGAUUAGAUACCCGUGUAGUC
rnacentral:rRNA from 1 species